rnacentral:rRNA from 1 species
UCCGUAGGUGAACCUGCGUAAGGAUCAUUUAUGAGUUUGAAACAGGACUUGAUGCUGGCCUUGAUUUUCAAGGCAUGUGCUCAGAUCUUCUCAAUCCUUCUAACACCUGUGCACUUUCAAAGUCGUGGUCCUCCGUCAUGGGAGCUGCAUCUUGUAAUAAUGAGAUGCUGGGACUACACUUUGCCCCUUCAUUACAAACUAUACUAUUGUCUUGUAGAAUGUUAAUAGUCUAAGGACUUAAUCUAAUACAACUUUCAACAACGGAUCUCUUGGCUCUCGCAUCGAUGAAGAACGCAGCGAAAUGCGAUAAGUAAUGUGAAUUGCAGAAUUCAGUGAAUCAUCGAAUCUUUGAACGCACCUUGCACUCCUUGGUAUUCCGAGGAGUAUGCCUGUUUGAGUGUCUUUAAAUCAUCAAUUCAACCUUGCUUUUUGUAAGGGUUGACUUGGAUUUGGGGAUUGCUGAUCUGUAUGGAUUGGCUUCCCUUGAAUGCAUUAGUUGAACUGACUUGCAACGGCUACGGUGGUGGGUGGUGGGAUAAUAUCUUCACUGGCAUAGGUUGCUAAUGGAAGGUUUGGGGCUUCUAACAGGUCCUUCACUGGGGGACAAUACUUGACCAUUAGACCUCAAAUCAGGUAGGACUACCCGCUGAACUUAA